rnacentral:rRNA from 1 species
AAUAGAUACCCAGGUAGUCCACGCCGUAAACGAUGGAUACUAGCUGUUGGAGGUAUCGACCCCUUCAGUAGCGAAGCUAACGCGUUAAGUAUCCCGCCUGUGGAGUACGGUCGCAAGACUAAAACAUAAAGGAAUUGACGGGGAUCAGCACAAGCGGUGGAUUAUGUUCUUUAAUUCGAUGAUAACCGAUGAACCUUACCAGGGUUUGACAUCCAGGAAAGCACUACGAAAGUAGAGUGUGCCUUUUGGAAUCCUGUGACAGGUGUUGCAUGGCCGUCGUCAGCUCGUGUCGUGAGAUGUUUGGUUAAGUCCAUCAACGAGCGCAACCCUUGCAAGUAGUUGUAUUUUUCUACUUGGACUGCCCUAGUAAUAGGGAGGAAGGAGGGGAUGAUGUCAGGUCAGUAUUACCCUUACACCCUGGGCUAGAAACAUAAUACAAUGGCCGGUACAAUGCGCAGCGAAGCAGUGAUGUGGAGCAAAUCGCAUCAAAGCCGGUCCAGUUCGGAUAAGAGCUGAAACUCGCCUCUUGAACG